AGUGAACGCUGGCGGUAGGCCUAACACAUGCAAGUCGAACGGCAGCACAGUAAGAGCUUGCUCUUACGGGUGGCGAGUGGCGGACGGGUGAGGAAUACAUCGGAAUCUACUUUUUCGUGGGGGAUAACGUAGGGAAACUUACGCUAAUACCGCAUACGACCUACGGGUGAAAGCAGGGGAUCUUCGGACCUUGCGCGAUUGAAUGAGCCGAUGCCGGAUUAGCUAGUUGGCGGGGUAAAGGCCCACCAAGGCGACGAUCCGUAGCUGGUCUGAGAGGAUGAUCAGCCACACUGGAACUGAGCCACGGUCCAGACUCCUACGGGAGGCCGCAGUGGGGAAUAUUGGACAAUGGGCGCAAGCCUGAUCCAGCCAUACCGCGUGGGUGAAGAAGGCCUUCGGGUUGUAAAGCCCUUUUGUUGGGAAAGAAAAGCAGCAGGUUAAUACCCCGCUGUUCUGACGGUACCCAAAGAAUAAGCACCGGCUAACUUCGUG
rnacentral:rRNA from 1 species